rnacentral:lncRNA from 1 species
GUCUUAGGGUCUUUUCUGUUGUUUGGGUUCUUAGAUUAAUGAAUGUUGUGUGUCAAGUUUCUAUUUCUUUCUUUGUAAAUCUUGUUAACAUUGUGUUGUUGAAUAUAAAAGUCUAGUGAAGCCGUGUGGGCUCUUUCGAUUCACUAGCAAUAUUGUCUUUGUUGUUCUUGUUGUUAAACUCACUUUUCUAGUUCAAACAAGUGUUGCAGGCCUAGUGAAGCCGUGUGUGGCCAUUUUCGAUUCACUAGCACUUUGUUGUUCAUCUUGUUGUUCU